UACGAAGGGUGCAAGCGUUACUCGGAAUUACUGGGCGUAAAGCGUGCGUAGGUGGUGAGUUAAGUCUGUCGUGAAAGCCCCGGGCUCAACCUGGGAAUGGCGAUGGAUACUGGCUCGCUAGAGUGCGGUAGAGGAGAGUGGAAUUCCCGGUGUAGCAGUGAAAUGCGUAGAGAUGUGGAGGAACACCGAUGGCGAAGGCAGCCCCCUGGGUCAAGAUUGACGCUCAUGCACGAAAGCGUGGGGAGCAAACAGG
rnacentral:rRNA from 1 species